rnacentral:lncRNA from 1 species
UUUUAACGAAAACGAUAAACGUUCGUGAACGUUCAACGCUCGUUUCUUUGUUCUAAGUCGGAAUUCGGUCAUUUUCGAGUUCGCAACUCUAUAAUGCCAAAUAAGACUUCCUCCCAUCGAAAACCAAUGUUUUUGAGCUCAAAAUCAAAAUUUGACUUCCAUUCUGGGAAUUUUACGAAUUCGACGAUUAUCGUCUAAUCGCGUGAAUUCCGGCAUAACUUCGUUACUAAGAUUUGUUCAUCGUUCCAAAUGGAUUCUAUCCAUCACAUUAACAUCUUAACCUACUCAUUUCAUUAACUUAUUUUCAUGAUAAGUUAUUACUUGUUCUUCAUUAGCUUAUAACUUAUCAAAGUAUAAAC